rnacentral:rRNA from 1 species
GAUGAACGCUGGCGGCGUGCCUAACACAUGCAAGUCGAGCGAAGCGAGGGCGGGUGAGUACCACGUAGAUAACCUCCUAUACGACUGGGAUAACUACGGGUAACCGGAGCUAAACCGGCUACUUAUAGAUGGUUCCUGGCUGCAUGAGCUAGUUGGUAAGGGACCGGCCUACCAAGGCAACGAUGCAUAGCCGAUCUGAGAGGGUGAUCGGCCACACUGGAACUGAGACACGGUCCAGACUCCUACGGGAGGCAGCAGUGGGGAAUCUUCCGCAAUGGGCGAAAGCCUGACGGAGCAACGCCGCGUGUGUGAUGAAGGUCUUCGGAUUGUAAAGCUCUGUUAGUAGGGAAGCGGUACCUAAACAGAAAGCCACGGCUAACUACGUGCCAGCAGCCGCGGUAAUAC